rnacentral:rRNA from 1 species
UACAGAGGGUGCAAGCGUUAAUCGGAAUUACUGGGCGUAAAGCGCGCGUAGGUGGUUCGUUAAGUUGGAUGUGAAAUCCCCGGGCUCAACCUGGGAACUGCAUUCAAAACUGUCAAGCUAGAGUAUGGUAGAGGGUGGUGGAAUUUCCUGUGUAGCGGUGAAAUGCGUAGAUAUAGGAAGGAACACCAGUGGCGAAGGCGACCACCUGGACUGAUACUGACACUGAGGUGCGAAAGCGUGGGGGAGCAAACAGG